UACGAAGGGUGCAAACGUUGCUCGGAAUCAUUGGGCGUAAAGCGCACGUAGGCGGCGCAGUAAGUCGGACGUGAAAUCCCUCGGCUCAACCGAGGACGUGCAUCCGAAACUACUGUGCUCGAGUAUGGAAGAGGGUCGCGGAAUUCUCGGUGUAGAGGUGAAAUUCGUAGAGAUCAGGCGGAACACCCGUGGCGAAGGCGGCCAGCUGGGCCGUCCCUGACGCUGAGGCGCGAAGGCGUGGGGAGCGAACGGG
rnacentral:rRNA from 1 species